rnacentral:rRNA from 1 species
UGGAGCAAAUCCCUAAAAGCCAUCCCAGUUCGGAUCGCAGGCUGCAACCCGCCUGCGUGAAGUUGGAAUCGCUAGUAAUCGCGGAUCAGCAUGCCGCGGUGAAUACGUUCCCGGGCCUUGUACACACCGCCCGUCACACCAUGAGAGUCGGGAACACCCGAAGUCCGUAGCCUAACCGCAAGGGGGGCGCGGCCGAAGGUGGGUUCGAUAAUUGGGGUGAAGUCGUAACAAGGUAUC